UCUCUGAAACAAAGUGCUACCGGCCUGGAUGAAACACUGAAGGCUAGCUGGGCGCAGUGACUCACACCUGUAAUCCCAGCACUUUGGGAGACCGAGGUGGUCAUAUCACCUGAGGCUGGGAGUUCAAGACCAGCCUGGCUAACAUGGAGAAACCCCAUCUCCACUAGAAAUACAAAAUUAGCCAGGCAUGGUGGUGCAUGCCUGUAAUCCCAGCUACGCGGGAGGCUGGCGCAGGAGAAUCACUUGAACCCGGGAGGCAGAGGUUGCAGUGAGCCGAGAUCGCACCAUUGCACUCCAGCCUGGGCAACAAGAGUGAAACUCCGUCUCAAAAAAAAAAAAAGAAAAGAUUGAAGACUAGAUGCUGAGCAGUAAGGCUUUCAUAUUUC
rnacentral:lncRNA from 10 species